AUUUCUUUUAAGCAUUCUCUAAAUAAAGUUAAUCUGUUCUUAUCAGCUUAAUAUCUGAUACGUCCUGCAUCGCAGGACCAGAAUAUUAAACUGAUUUUUGGAAAAUGACGGAGUGCUAGGAGCUUGCUCCACCUCUGUCACGGGUUGGCCCGGUAUUGCAGUACCUCCGGGAUCGGCUUACCUUAA
rfam:Zootermopsis nevadensis contig27378, whole genome shotgun sequence.